rnacentral:rRNA from 1 species
GCGCGAAAACUUUACAAUGCUGGCAACAGCGAUAAGGGGACCUCGAGUGCCAGGAUACAAUCUUGGCUGUCGUAAUGCCUAAAAAGCAUUGCAUAGCAAGGGCCGGGCAAGACCGGUGCCAGCCGCCGCGGUAACACCGGCGGCUCGAGUGGUAACCGCUAUUAUUGGGUCUAAAGGGUCUGUAGCCGGCCGGAUAAGUCUUUUGGGAAAUCCAGCUGCUCAACAGUUGGGCUUUCAGAAGAUACUGUUCGGCUCGAGACCGGGAGAGGUGAGAGGUACUUCAGGGGUAGGG